rnacentral:rRNA from 1 species
GAGGGAAUGGUGAAAAGUACCCCGGGAGGGGAGUGAAAUAGUACCUGAAACCGGUCGCAUACAAUCCGUCGGGGCCUCGAACUUUUUUGUUUGGGGUGACGGCGUGCCUUUUGAAGAAUGAGCCUGCGAGUCAGUGGUGCGUGGCGAGGUUAACCCGUGUGGGGUAGUCGUAGCGAAAGCGAGUCCUAAUAGGGCGUUUUUAGUCGCGUGCUCUGGACCCGAAGCGGGGUGAUCUAUCCAUGGCCAGGGUGAAGCGAAGGUAAGACUUCGUGGAGGCCCGAACUCACUUGGGUUGAAAACCGAGGAGAUGAGCUGUGGAUAGGGGUGAAAGGCCAAUCAAACCCCGUGAUAGCUGGUUCUCCCCGAAAUGCAUUUAGGUGCAGCGUUGCGUGUUUCUUGCCGGAGGUAGAGCACUGGAUGGUCUAGGGGGCCCACAAGCUUACCGAAAUCAGCCAAACUCCGAAUGCCGGUAAGUUAGAGCGUGGCAGUGAGACUGUGGGGGAUAAGCUUCAUAGUCGAGAGGGAAACAGCCCAGAUCAUCAGCUAAGGCCCCUAAGAGGUGACUAAGUGGAAAAGGAUGUGGAGUUGCGUUGACAACCAGGAGGUUGGCUUGGAAGCAGCCAUCCUUGAAAGAGUGCGUAAUAGCUCACUGGUCAAGUGAUUCUGCGCCGACAAUUCAGCGGGGCUCAAGUUAUCCGCCGAAGCUGUGGCAUUCACAUGUGUGACCGGAAGGUUGUGUGGAUGGGUAGGGGAGCGUCGUGUGCGUGUUGAAGCGGUGGGGUGACCUGGUCGUGGAGUGCAUACGAGUGAGAAUGCAGGCAUGAGUAGCGAAUGACGGGUGAGAAACCCGUCCGCCGAAUAUCCAAGGGUUCCAGGGUCAAGUUAAUCUGCCCUGGGUUAGUCGGGACCUAAGGCGAGGCCGACAGGCGUAGUCGAUGGACAACGGGUUGAUAUUCCCGUACCGGCGAAACAACGUCCGUGCUGGGGCACGCGAUGCUAAGCAUGCGAGACUGUCUGCUGCCUUUCGGGGUGGUGGGUGGUUGAGUCUGUGAUCCGAGUGUGUAGUAGGCAAGCCGCGGAGGGACGCAGGAAGGUAGCUCAUCCUCAGCGUUGGUUGUCUGAGGCUAAGUGUGUAGGGUGGGGUGUAGGUAAAUCCGCAUUCCGUGAUGCCUGAGACACGAUGGGCCUGCACCGUUUGGGUGUGGGUUGAGUGAUCCUAUGCUGCCUAGAAAAGCUUCGUUGGCGAGUUGUUAGCCGCCCGUACCCUAAACCGACACAGGUGGAUAGGUAGAGAAUACCGAGGCGAUCGGGAUAAUCGUGGUGAAGGAACUCGGCAAAAUACCCCCGUAACUUCGGGAUAAGGGGGACCUGAUACGUGACCAGCCUUGCGUUGUGAGCGUUGAGGGUCGCAGAGACCAGGCCCAAGCGACUGUUUACUAAAAACACAGGUCCGUGCCAACUCGUAAGAGGAUGUAUACGGACUGACUCCUGCCCGGUGCUGGAAGGUUAAGGGGAACUGUCAGCCGCAUUUUGUGUGGUGAAGCGGUGAACUUAAGCCCCAGUAAACGGCGGUGGUAACUAUAACCAUCCUAAGGUAGCGAAAUUCCUUGUCGGGUAAGUUCCGACCUGCACGAAUGGAGUAACGAUUUGGGCGCUGUCUCCACCACGAACCCGGUGAAAUUGCAUUACGAGUAAAGAUGCUCGUUACGCGCAGCAGGACGGAAAGACCCCGGGACCUUUACUACAGUUUGGUAUUGGUGAUCGGUGUGACUUGUGUAGGAUAGGUGGGAGACUUUGAAACCGGGACGCCAGUUCCGGUGGAGUCGUCGUUGAAAUACCACUCUGGUCAUUCUGGUUAUCUAACCUAGGACCGUUAUCCGGUUCAGGGACAGUGCCUGAUGGGUAGUUUGACUGGGGCGGUCGCCUCCUAAAAGGUAACGGAGGCGCCCAAAGGUUCC